AUUUUUAUAGUUUGUCGAUCUUGGGCAAGUGGAGAGAGAGGCGUCAAGUGAUACAAAACAACCAUUUUCUGUGAGCUGAUUUGAUAAAGAGAAAUGGUAUGCUUUCUUUUCUUAAGCGGUGGGUUCUGCAAUUAUUUGAAACAAAGGGUGCCACGCUUCAAGUUCGAGAAAAUCAGAAUUUCAGAAGGACUUAAUGCUCAUGGAGCUAUUAUAAUUGUGGCUGAAAAAAUGGUGUAAUAGUGGGGCUGAAGUGGAAGAACAAGGGAUGAUCAAAUAAAGAUGAAAAAUAAAAUAAAAUUGAGAGCAUCUUCCUCUCCCCUGCCAAACUCAAGCUUUGGUAUCGAUUUGCAGCUGAAGCCUAGAAGUUGAAGUUGUUGAAAGUCCAGUCCAGCACAGGCAUACCCAGUCCAGCCCAGAACAGAGGCGUGUACCCAGACAAAAAUGGAAGCACAGCCCUCUUUUUGUCUUUUUAUAGUCAGUUUUCCCUUUUUGAGCUUUGUAAAGGGGAGUUCUGCCUGAAAGCGGUUCACUCUGUUGUCAUUUAUUCUGGCAAGAACUACCAGUUUUAUACUGUAAAAAAUUAUGAAGUCCUGACCAGUCUAA